CCUAUCUCUUAACUGCUGCUAGUUUAAAAAUUUGUUCCAAGUGGACGUGCCUUGAGAGCUCACUGGCUUCAAUUUCGUUAAUUGCAAUAUAUGCGUU
rnacentral:lncRNA from 1 species